AAGAGGAAGCUAUUGCCGUCGUUAUGUUCAAAGAAGUUUUCAUUAGACCCACUCACCCACCUCUUCAAAACCUAGGUCGCGCUAAAACCCUUUUUUUCUUUUUUCUAUUCCCUCAAAUUCCAAUAAUGGAGAUAAUUUGCUCUCUGAAUUAGCACAUGCUAUUAUAAUUUAUUUAGAACAAAUAACUUAUUUAGGCUUUGUAAUCAUUCUGAUGUUGUCUUGUAUGGAGUUAGCGACUCGACGACCAUGGGAAACAUGUCACAACGAUACCGGAAAUGGCACUGACGCCAGUACUGUAGCGGCACCACCAAUUGAUUAUAUCCCUAAGAAAGCCCAGGGUUGAAUUUGUCGGCAAUGGUUAAAUUCUGGGUUUGAUUGAUUAAUUUAUCUUUCAAUUAGGAGCUCCUAUGCUAUUGACAAGUUUUCCAUAGAUGACAUGCCUAUUGAGGUAAGAAAAUAUAUUAUUUGGGUUAAAUUUUAAUUUUAUAAAAUAAUUUAUUUCUAUUUAUGGCAUAUUGGUGAUCAGAUGUAUGAAAUUUGAUAUAGUUUUUGUUUAUGUACUAUACAGAAAGAAAUUGAUUAAAAAGUGUGUUGUGGGUUGGAAUUUGGUUGAUUAGUGUUGGGUUUGUGUUGGAUGAAUGCCAUGAUUAUUUUUAUGGAUCCGAAGGAGAAAAUAAAAGAGGGUGACAAUUGUUUAGAUUCACAAUUGUGGCAUGCUUGUGCUGGAGGGAUGGUGCAAAUGCCACCAGUGAGCUCAAAGGUUUAUUAUUUUGUACAAGGUCAUAUAGAACAUGCUAAUGGAAAUGUGUAUUUUAGGAGUUUCCCACGAUUUCCGUCAUAUGUUCUGUGUAGAGUUGAAGAUAUACGAUACUUGGCUGACCAGGAGACGGAUGAAGUGUAUGUAAAGAUUCGAUUAAGUCCUGUUACUAAUGAGGUAGAUUAUAGUGAUGAUGAAAUUGGAGUUCAUGGGACUUAAGUGCAAGAGAAUAAGCCUGCUUCAUUUGCUAAGAUUUUGACUCAGUCUGAUGCUAAUAAUGGGUGAGGGUUUUCUGUUCCUCGUUAUUGUGCGGAAACAAUAUUUCCGCGGUUAGAUUAUUCAGCGGAUCAACCAGUUUAAAACAUUCUAGCAAAGGAUGUUCAUGGCGAACCCUGGAAAUUUAGGCAUAUAUAUCAAGGGACACCAAGGCGUCACUUAUUAACUACUGGUUAGAGUACAUUUGUGAAUGCUAAAAAGCUAAUUGCUGGGGACUCUAUUGUGUUUUUAAGGGCUGAAAAUGGGAAUAUAUGUGUUGCGAUUCGAAGAGCAAAGAGGGGACUCGGUGGCGGACUCGGUGCAUCAUCAUGAGAUACCUGUUUGCUGGUUCCUGUUGUUUUUGGCAGGAAACCCUUGACAAUCCACUGAUUGACCAGAGUUUCUUUGACAACUCUAGUAUACAAAGAGCAGUAUGUAGCUAACUAUACCAGAUGAAGAGGAAGUCAACACUUUCAGCCAACUCAAACUCGGUACUUUCACUAGGCCUCCUCUCGAUGUUUACUAGGUUGGAUAGUCUGGUUCUUUUUGUUAAAUUGUUCACUAUGAUGUGUGCUCCGAUUGCCCCCCUUGUCACAGAGUAUAGGCAUGUUGACCCUUGUUUAAGUUGGCUCUUAUCUUGCUUGUUUAUAUAUUGAUGGUAAUGUGUCUUCUAAUCUCUAGAACAGGGCAGCCAUAAACUCCAGAAAUAAUAAAUUUAUAGAAGAAACUUAAUAUAUAUACUUACAUUAUAUUCCGUUCAAAAGUUUAGUUUAGGUAAUAAAUUUGAUUAACAAAUACUUGGUCAAUUAGUAGUCACGUUGACUGUAUAACGGUGUAACCUUAAGUCAUGAACUAAAGAUUUGAAAAUUAGUUCCUGAUAUCUGCAACAGAUGUCUUUUAAUUCAAAAAUAAGGAAUGUCUAAUAAUGUAUCUCAAUUGAAUCACUGCUUUUCUAGCUCCUUUUACUAGUUGGAAAGGAGUGCCUUUGAUUUCUAUGUACAGACUAAGCAACACAAUUUAAUACAAGUCACCUAAAGGUGGAGAGCCUAGAUCAACAAGUAACUCCACUUCAAUUCUCUAUAAUCUACAUGCUGUGCAGAACCCAGUUGUAUGCUGAUGAUGGAGUUCAGUAUGGCCAAUAUUAGGUUCUGAGCUACAAUCAUGUUUAGAGUAAAACUGAAAACAUCUUCCUGGUGAAAGAAUAAAUAAGCUAAUCAGACCAACUUUUCCCUUUUAAGAUAUGAGAUACAAGUAGGUAUGUAGAUGGCAGAGAACUAAAUAAGAGGUUGCCUUGAUAUGCCAGGUAGUCUCUUAUUUUUUUGGCUAUGCUAUUAUUUUUUACUGCAUGCUUUGGAUGAUACUGCUUUCGCUUGUUAAUUGGUAUGCUCUCUGAAUUUUCUGUGAUGUGAGUCACUGAUAAAACUUAUGAUUAUGUUUUAUUACAAAUAUUUAUUAUAAUUAUGAUUGUGUUUAUUACAAAUUAUAUUUGUUUCUAAGUAUUAAUAAAUAAUUUAUUUUAUUUUGCUUGUGUAGUGUCCUCGGCAAAAGAAUGUCAUGGAUUUUGGAUAUUAAUGAGAUCCAUAAAAGAGAUCAUCGACCAUAAGAAAACUUGAAAUUUUUGAAGAUGUUUGUACUUUUUUUGUUCAAUUAUGCCUAGACAUUAUAUGUUUUGUUACUAAUCAUGUUAACUUUCUCAUGUUAUAGUACUUUCAUGAUUGCAAUGCUCCGAAUUAUGAUCAAGAACAAAUUGAUGAAGUCAUAGCUCAAUGGACGCGUCAAGUUCUUCCCUUGUGAAUAUAUUGUGGUGGAUUAAUUAUGUUUUUCGACUGGAAAUUGUGUAAAAUGUUCUAAUUUUAGUGUGUUGAUUUGAAAUAUUAAAAAGUGUAUGUACUAUAAGACAAAGAUACUUCUUUCUUUUUCUAUUGUUGUUU